rnacentral:lncRNA from 1 species
UUUGUGUUUGAGGUAUUCUGAUUGUUUAGCAUGUCCAUUUUAUUCUUUGGAUUAUUUAUUGUUCAUACUUAUCUUAGCAACUUAUGGACACUUUCAAAAGUGAGUUUUCUGCUGCACAUAUUUUGUAAAUUUUGAAAAAUUUAACUCAACCCCCCCCCCCCCAAAAAAAAAAAAACAAAGGAAUUAUUGAGAAUUAUCCAAGGAAGCAUGAUUUGGUAUAAUAGUGCGUCAAUAUUUGAACAUACAAUUUAACUUAGGUUGCUACAUUAAACUAAUGGCCUAAACUUUAGCCUAUGCACACAGAUAUAUCUACCAAUUUGUAAGGUAGAUAGUAUCACUCUAAUACUUUUUUUUUUUAAAUCUCUAAAUACCUCACAGCCAUCAUAUUGAGAGAAAUGCUGCAGUUUGAGGAAGCAUGGAGCAGGAAGAAUAUUCUUUUUGACAAAAAAAUCUGUAAACAUUAGAUUCCAAUUUUGAUUAUUUUAUGAAUAAUAAUUUUAAGAUUAAAAAUAUUUUACUAUUUAAUUAUUAUAGAUUGGAUUUAUAUUAAAAUUUAUUAUUUUUUUAAGUUCAAGUCUUCCUAGAACUUUAGCAUUAUUUUUUAUAUAUUUAUUUAUUUUAAAUAAAGGAUCCAUGUAUUGCACAUGCCACAUUGUAAUUAGAAUCGGAGAUAUUAGAACUAAGAUUUUUCGCAUGCCUUUCAUAUUGGAUUGGGGAAGCAUAGUAUGGAGAGUAUUAUUUUUUGACAAAAAAUCUAAAAGCCUCGGAUUCUAAUUUUGAUUAUUUUAAUUAAGAUAGUUUUCAGAUUAAGAUAUUUUAUUAUUUAAUCAUUAUAUAUCAUGUUUGUAUUAGAAAUAUCAUAACUAUUUUAUUACAUUUGUCUAUCAAAAAUUUAAGUCCUACAAGAAAACUUCUCUAACUUUUUUUUUGCAUUAUUAAUAUCCAGAGCAACAAAUUUUGUACUAUUUUCUAUAAGAGUUCGAGUCGAGUGAAUUUGAGGAAUUGCUUCCUUCUUCUCUCUUUAUUCGAAUCAUAGAAUAGCAAUACCACUAAAAUUCUCUUACCAAGAAUUCCAUUCAUGGAAUUGUGCCACCCAUUCUCGAGCUCUCAAUCCCACCACCCAAACAGGGGCUAUAGGGGAAGGAACUGAGAAAUUGGAUUUUAUGGGAUGAGAGUGGUUUAGCUCUGUUGCCAAAUGGAAACUGAAUAAUGCUUAGAACCCUCCUACAAUACAUUGCAUACUUUUGAGAUUUAUGCCCAUCUUUUUUAUUGUUUUUUUUUUUUUUUUUGUCUGAAAGCGGAUGUUUCAUAUAGUGCGUAUACGGAUACACCUAAAAAAGUCAAAAUACAACAAUUCGCAGAGUGCUAGUGGCAGCUCUCCCUCCCCUGACCAAAGAUUGUACCCUGAGUGGUGGGCCGCUAUCCAGUCGGCCGCCCCAUUGGCUUUUCUAAAUACAUGCUUGGCCUGAAAGACCCUCCCAUCUGUCAUCAUCAUCCCUAUGUUACGGAUUAAGGGGUGGUCUGUGCCGUCACCCCUCGACCCCCUCUAAAUCCACCCGAUAACCGUAGCCAUCUUUAUGUAUUCAAUGAUGCAUUUGGAAAGCAUUUCAAAUCUCAAAGGCCACCAUGUAUUAAAUUUUCAGCGAGAAGUCUAUCUUUGGAUCGUUAUCAUUAUCAUCACCUUUAAAUAAGCACCCCUAAACUAGUGGAGAUCAUGCUCAAAUAGGCACGGUUUCUCCGAUGGAUUUUGCUGUCAAUAUGCGAGCAUGGCAAUACGGGAGGCCGGCUUAAGUUGGCAUGAUUAGAACUAGAACACAUGAUUUAUCUCAGUAAGCGACUAAUGAGGUUUUUUUGGUUCAAUAAGAGUGACUAAAGCAUGGUUCCGCAAUGACAGAUCAUAGACAUGAUAUGGGUGUUACUAAUCAUGGUUCGGCACAGUUCGAGUACAGCACCAAAAAUUUCUGCUGUGGUUUAUUCCAACUCCAUAGCGACAUGUUUGGCGUUCAGAAACAAUUUGGAUAUUUCAAAUUGAGAACAAAAAUAUAACUUCAUCAAAAGUUUGAAAAACUCAAAUAAUUAUAUAUAUAAAAAAGAAAAUAAUGGACAUUAGAUUUUUAAAAAAUUGGCAUAUUUACUCAUGAAAAUUAGCAUAAAAAUGAAGAAUAAAUCCAUGUCCACCUCAUGAUUGAAUAGAUCUGAACGGAUUUGUUUAUUGAGAAUAUUUCAAAGAAUCAUUUGGAGAAGGAAAAGCUUGAAAAAAGCUGGGUCUUUUCGGCCACUCAAGAGAAUAUUGCUUCUGUUGUCCAUUCCUAUCCUGAGUUACCCAUAAUUCUCAUGUUACUUGCCACAUGGUUGGCUCAGACAAGAUUUCAUCGCCUACAUAAAGAGUUCUUUGAUAUACUUAGGAACAUAUGUUGCCCCAAAUAAGUAAUAGAGAGAGAAAAAGAGAGAAGCUAAGACAAGGGAGAGGCAUCAAAUCAAUAAUGGUCAGACAACCAUCUGCAAGUUCCUUCUGUAAUAUAGUGGAGAGAUCCACAGAGUUGCAAGGAAAAAGGAAGCAUGGAGAUCCCAAAUUUCAAUGUGCAACAGAAAAUAGUCAACAACAAUAUGAAGCCACUGUUUUGUUUGUUUCUUGAAUUUGUUUUAUUUAGUCUUUUAAUACUGCACCCUCACUGUUAUAUAUACAAGUAACAGAAUUAGAACAAACUCCAAUGGAGGAAAAAAAAAGAAAAAAAAGAGAAGAAAAGUAUAUAAUGCACACAGCUCCAUUGAGUUAACAGCUCCCAAGUGCUUCCAAAAUGCUAAAAAAGGAUUGGCAGAGAUCACUGGAGCUGUUAAAAACUGGGAGGAAAAACACUUCUAGUUAAGUACCUUUUCUUGGAUCAUCAACAUAUCCAUCCACAGGUCGUAUGAGUUAUUAUACCGGGUAAUGUUUAUCUAACACCAGUAAAAAAGGACCCAUAUCAUUCACCUUUAUUUUUUUCUGGUUUCACUAAUUUCUUCUCGCAAAGACAACCUUUGGGCUUGCCUGAAGCUGAAGAAGGCAAUCAUGCACUGUGGGCUUGGAGUUGUUCUCAAAAUCAGGCUUAAGUCUCAUCUGCAAUGUAAACAUUUAUUUAUGUUUGAUGAGUUUAACAAAUACAGUACAACUUUGCCAAAGUUGAAUAUGAUAUUGUAAUUCAUUACAAGGUAUGAUUUUAGCCGAUGGAAAGAACUAGUUGAAUGUAAAAAGAAAUUAUUCGUGAAUCACCUCUUGAUCUCAAGUCCCCUUUUUUUACAGCUAAAGGUACUCAGCAACAUGUCAUGCGCUAAUUAACUUAAAGAGGAGUAUUUUCAAUCAGGUAAACAACAAAAGCCAAUUAUGCCUCAUGCUCUUUUAAGCAUCGAUUUCAUGCCACAUGCAUAAAUAAUCAAACAUGUUAUGCAUUUCUACAUAUAAACACACCAAAAUGACGAAAAAACGCUAGUUGCAGCAUGCAAUUAUCAAAAGAAAGAAAAGAAAGAUUACUAACACAUGGUAUAUAUGAAACAUAGUUUGUUUUUGAUUUUGAACUGAUAACAUUACAAAUCUGUACCGAUUUCGGUCACAAUACAUGCAGUGCUUGUUGCUGCAAAAAAAGAAUUAAAAAAUGCAUUGAUGUAUGUAAUCCAUUCUUUGUUAUUAAAAUCUGAGAUGUCCCUCCAAAAAUUAAUCUAAAAUCACAAGCAAAGUUUCAAAUAUCGUGCAAUUUGGUCACGUACUGCUUGCUGGCAGGUACAGAGUGUUAGGUGAGGACCCAAUGACGACUUAGUUUUUCACUCUCGAACUCAAGUCGAAUAAAUCUAGACAUAUGUCGGACGACGGGGUUUGACGAGUUAUCCAUGACCUCCGGUCUGUAGGAAUCCAUGAUAGAAAUACUGUAUCAUACGAUAACUGCACCUACAGGUUCAUCAUUCUACUCUGCUGGGUAGCCACUACAUACUGCUAGGUGUCACUGGUGGAUGGUGAGACUCACAGGGACCAUUCUGAUGGUCGAUGAUCCCUGGUGAAAUCACAAAGGGGAUAAAGAUGAGCUCCUAUUUUGAAUUCACAAAGGGAUAAAGAUGAGCUCCUAAAAUUUAGGAGCUCAUCUCUAUCCCCACACCAUAAAAGAGGGGUUCAAAGGGGCUACGAAUUUUUCAUGGUUUUUCCUUGGGAUUUUUGGCAGCAAGGAACCUCCUUCCAUCCCUCCUUUCAGCCACAAGAAAGCAAGAAAAAAAGGCUUGUGGCGUGGCCCUUCUUCCUUCCAUUCUUUGGUUCCAACGCGAAGGGAAAAAUGAAAGACUGCGGGUUUUACAUUCUUCUUCCUACAUCCCUCCUUCUUCCUCCUCUCAAGGUAAUCAAAAGUUGAUUCAAAGGAGAGGAUAUCAGCCAUCAAAAGCUAUCUCUGCAAGGGAGCUAGCACCCCGGGAAGAUCCAAAAGCUUCAAUUGGUGCUAUACCUCGUGUGGAUACCUGUAGAGGCCGGAUGCGUGUGCGGCUUCCAUCGAACCUUCAACAAAUCCACGUAAAUCAGAUUUGCAGAGACCAUCUACCCGCACAAGAUGAAGAUCUGAUCUUCUUAAUGAUUUUAAAAUGGUUUAUAAGAAUUUAAUCCUAAUCUAUCUACAAACGACGGUUUUAAAAUACGUUCAUGCGAUGAACGGGAUCGCACAUGCCCUUCCGCUGCACAUCUAAAAAUUUUUGAAAUUUUUCUGCGGCAUGCAUCAGAUCCUAACAGUGGUAUCAGAGCCAGGUUAUGUAGAUUAAGAUUGGAAUUAAAUUUUUAAAGGCAUUUUAAAUCUAAAAUUUAAAGAAUUAUGCUUGCUGAAAUUUUCUGCAUACAGAAUUUUCAGCUUGCUGAUUUUUCUGCAUGCUAAUUUUUGAAUGCUUAGAUUAAUGAUUCUAAUGCUUUGGUAAUGUGAUUACAAAUAUUUAGAAUCAUAUCUUGCAUAAUCAGCAAGUCAUAAGAUGAAAUAAUCAGUUAAAUUACAGAUCUGAAAAUAAUAUUUAUGCAUGAGAUGCGUAUGGUGAUGAUCAUGGAUGGACCCUUUUGAAUGUGCUGAAAUAUUCUGCGAUAUUCUGUGAUGCUAUGUGAUGGCAUGUAAUUUUAAUUUUCAGAUGCCUGCGUGCAUCUUAAAUUCAUGUAUUAAAGACCUGCGUGUCUCAUGAAAAAGGGUUGUAAUUUAUUCUUUUAUUUUAUUUAAUUUUUAAAGCAAUCUGGGAUGUAAUCUGUGAUGUGUGUUGCACGUCGAUGGUUGAUCGAUAUGUACAUUAACAAGCUUAACAUGCACGGAUCGAAAUCAAGGGUUGAUUGAAGAUGGAUCAAGGAGUUGAUCACAAUUGGACCUAGGGAUCAAGAUCAAGUCAAAAGUUGAAGAUGAUCAAACCAAUUGACGUGCAUGUGAUUGUAAAAUGACCCCAUCCUGGAUCCAUGAUCAUCACCAUUUAAAUUUAUUUGUUGAUAAAUGCCUGGAUGUUUAAUGCUUAUGUCUAUACGGGUAGAUAUAUAUUUGCAUGAGAUGUGAAUAGUCGAUCGAGAGAGACCUAAAUACAAACCUUCUCAAUCAGUCAAGAGUGAACCAACAUGAGCUAGUCAUAUUAGAUUAAUUGAUCUAAUUGGUGUCUAGGCAGCUUAAAAGGUGGUUACUUAAUUAGGACCUUACUCUUCGAGUAAGGGGAACCUCCCACCUGCUUACCUGGCCAAUUGUUCCAUGCGAAACCAAUCACCGGCUAGUACAACCUCCGAUACCAAUUCGGAGAACCUUAAUUCUUGGAUAUUGCUAAAAGAAUGAUCUAUAUGUGUCCGUUUUUAAAAUUUAAAUAUGUUUUUUUUGAAUCCAUACUAACUAAAUAGUUAAUAGCACCAAGCUCCAUAAAAUAUGCAUAGAAGAGUAUAUUAGAACAAUAGUAAUUAUGCCAUCUUUAAGUGAAGCAUUAAAGUCGAUUUUAGAAGAAUUUGACAAACAUAACACAGAUCACCAACCUCAUAGUUUUGAAGUAAAUAUGCAAGCAAUGCUGAUAUUCCAUGAAUUGCAAACUUUUGUCCAAUGCAUGCUCGUGCACCAGCCCCAAAAGGAAGAAAUGCUGCACUUUUAUUUGGUUCACUUAUAAAUGGGCACUCUUCAUGCUUCUCAUGUUCCUCAAAUGUGCCUGCAAUUUCAUUUUGAGACAGAUAUUGAAAACAUUAACAAAUAAGUAUCUCAAAGAAAUGCUUUAAAGGAAUGAAAAAUGGAAUAAAUUCCAUUUCCUUUGAAGGGAGAUUGAAGUAUUGGGAGCGAACAUGCAUAAAUUAUAAAAUUGAAGGAGCCAAAAUGCAUGAUAAUGGAGGAGUUCUAUUAAACCUUUGUAAAUAAAUCAAAGCUAUAUCAUCUAAUAUUGCUUUGAUAUACCAGGAAUUAGGAAGCAUCUUACUCAGUAAAACUAUCAGAAAUAAAGCACAAUCCUUCAAACUAUUGGUAAAAGAAAUCAACCCCAUUAUGCCCAAAAGUAAUGCUCAAUCCUUAUUUGAUUUAAACAACUAAUACAGGUGACUGGCAUUGGUUGUUCUCGUCAGGUGCAACAAUUAUUGUAGCAUCAGACAAAUUGGCAAUAGCCUUUUUGUUCAUAGAAAUUCUUAAUAAGAUAAUUCUCAAAUGGUGAAAAAUCUCAGAAGACAAUGAUACAAAAAUGCAACCAACUAAAAGCCACAGAAAUAUUAUACUACCAAGAAGAGCAAAAUAUUGAUGUGUAGAAAAAGGAGAGAGAAAUGAACAUAGCUUUUGACACAAGAAUAAGAUCGUCUUAAACAACAAUAAGCAGCCUCCCACAAGAUUUUAGAAUUUUGGUUCAAGUCUUGGUUUUGAUAAGAGGACUAAAGUAUUGGCUGAAACAUGCUUCGACUGGGAUAGAUCUCAAACUGAUCAAAAAAUUCAGUUUCGGCCACCGGUUUCAACAGUUUCAGAUGAAACCAACUGAAGCUGCCGUUCUUUUACCCCAUUUGUUAACAAGUAUAUGUAUUUAUGUUUAAUAUGUGUUCGAUAUUAUUAAAUCACACGUUCAUCUGAGUCUCUAAUGAUCUUAUCUAUAUAACUUUUGUCUAAGUUAUUAUACUGGAAAGUCAAUGUAUUAAAAAGUGGAUAGAAAGCACAUAACAGCCAGGGGGGCUCCUAGCCAAUAGCGAAUAGCAAGUGCUAUGUACCCAAAGCAGGCUGUUGAAGUAUAUAUAUAUUUUCUUACUAAAUAUCAAAGAUAUCAACUCUACAUCAACUUCAUGUAAAAAAUGAAGAAAAUAAAGAAAAAUUUAAAACAACAUCCACGUAUCAUCGUAAUAUCAUAUCAACAUUUAUAAUUUUGUAUAAUGUAAAGGUACACGAUCUAAUGAGCAAUAUCAUCAUCCACCAAACAUAAUUACAUCACUCAAUAAAGAUGUCUACAAUAUGAUAACAUCAACCAUAGAAGAAAGAUGUCCACAAUCAUACAAAUAAUCCACUUCUCCUUAUCCUCUCUCUCUCUCNNNNNNNNNNNNNNNNNNNNCUCUCUCUCUCUCUCUCUCUCUCUCUCUCUCUCUCUCUCUCUCUCUCCCCCCAUGCUCCAAUUGAACAUGGGUAUGAAAUAACUAAACCAGCCCAUGUUUUAAUCAUCCUAUUGGACUAGCUGAUUGUUGGACCGCUUCAAUUGGAAAGUGGUCCAGUCUGCUAUAAAAUAAAUCACCCACUUCAAACACAGCAUCAUGGCUGCUACAGUGGGUUUCCCACUUCAUACUUGUGCCAUAUGGCACCACCAUGAUAUUUAGCAUAGCCUUCUUCGGCUGAAAGCGCUAUAGCCGCUGUAGCAGCCUAUUUUUAAAACAAUGUGGUCAAUCUGCAAACUUGAUAUAUCUUUACUAAUCAGGCAAGAUAGUUCGUCUUCUUAUUUUUCUUACUUAAAUGAGUUUCUUCCUCCUUUGCUAAAUAAAGUGAAAUAUUAAGAUGAAAUAAUGAAAUAAAAUGGGUUUUUUAUUUGGAUUGGUCCUUUUCUUUUCUUUGUCCAAAUGAAAUAGAGUAAAAUAUACUUAAAUGGGUUUCUUCUUGAUUAGAUGAAUUAAUAAAAUGCAACAAUGUUAAAUAUGCUUAGAUGUUUUUUUCCUCUGAUGAUUUAUAAAAAUGAAAUAGAAUGAAAUAUGCUUAGAGGAAAAGUUUAGUUAAAUUUUUAUGGAAAAUUAUAAAAAACAAAGAAAAGUAUAGAGAAAUUAUAAAAAUUAGAGAAUUGUAAGAAGCAGAGUCGCCGAGUUGGGAAACAAGUGUGAGAGAUCAUAUGAGAAACAAAAGUUGGUGAUUGAUAAGAAAUUAUACAAUUGGGAAAAUUGGUGGCAUCUAUAUAUGAUAAUUAAAAUUAUUCACAUAUUUAGCAUAGGAAAUAAAAAAGAUAUCUUACAAAGAUUAAAAAAAAUAAAAUCUCUACUCGUCGCCUAUGUUCUUUAAAAAGAAAAGAAAUAGGUAGCGAAGAUGAAUCUUUUUCUUCUAUUCUAAUGGGGCCUAGCUUCUAACUUUUUUUAGACAUGGGGUCCAUGUUGUGGUUUAAGGUAUAUUAGUAAUCAUUUUGAACUAAAACAAUUUUAGAUUGACAAAAUUUCUAAUUAAAGGACACUUAGAGCAAAAGUCUAUAUGGAAAGAUCACUCAUGCAAAGAAAAUCUAAAUCGAGGUUUUUUUUUAACUUCCUGUAGGUGGUGGGACUGAUGUGGUCGAGGCAUGUGGGGAAAGAGGACAAAGAGAGUGUGUAUUGGUUAUUUUCAGAAUGCAAAUUCAGCAUUUCUCAAAAUGCGCUUUGCACUCAUUUCUCAGGUUUUUUUUUUUUUUUUGUGGUACUAUAUAUUGAACGUGAGUACACCCAGCCAGAUCACUAGAAAGUAACAAAGACAAAGGAGGAGGAGCAUCUGAAUCAGACGUCCAUGGUAAGAAUAUUACAGAAAAAAAAGUCUAAACAUUUAAAGAAUUAAGCUUUGAUACAGUUUAAUUUCAAUCUGAGAUUACCCAAAAUACAUAUUAUAAUCCUAAAUAACUCAUAACACAAUAAAACGAUGUGAAUUAGCUUGUCUUUAUUUUUUCUCAACUUUUCUUGUUUGGAUCUUUUUAAACUUUUUUUACCAUAAGUCUAGAACUCAAGGUAAAAGUAUCAAAAUUGAAAUUACAAUGGUCAAGAAAAAUAGAGUUUUAUAAGAGAUGUGUAGAUCAUAUGUUAAUGAAUUUAGGGCUGAUUGAGUGACUGGCAGGGGUCGGUAGUCGACUUGUAAAAGUAUUUCAGGUUGCCUAUAUGAAUCUAUGCAGAAAUUCAGUGUGUACCACUAGAAAAAAGACAUAUAUGAGACUAAGUGCAAGUCAUCGAUACACAGAAAAGCACAGCAUAUGGAUAAGUUUAAGAAAAUAACAUAGAAACAAAAAUAGUAUGAAGCAAAAUAAAACAGGUAAAAUGAAAGAGGUUGGCGGAAAGAAAAACUAAAGAGACAGAAAGAAAAACUAGGAGGAAGUAAGAGAUGCAAAUCAGACAUCAAAUCCUUGAUGCCUUUCACAAGAACAGAGAGAAAGAAAACAGUUUAUCAUGCUUCUUGGAGUCUAGCAGAGGACCACAUAUGGCCUUCUCAGGUAAAUAAUAUCUAGAUUUUCCAGACCUCUAUAACGCAAAACUCAGUUUCUCACAGAUUCCUCUACAGAAGACACCUAAUCUACACAAAAUUAAAUCCUAAUGACUUCAGAAAUUUUCGAAUGUUAUAUAUAUAUAUAUAAUCUGAAAAUUACAAUAAACCUAAACUGCACCCAAUAGGCUACCAUUAAAUAAUAAGGUACCAUCAGAUGUAUGUACGCAGUAGUGGUGACACUAGCAGCAUCAAAACCCUAUUCUGCUUUCACCUUACUAGAUGAGUGGAAGUCAUGUUCCAAUAGAAUGAUCUUCCAGUCUAACCACUCAAAGUUGCUUACAUAAAGGGUUGGGGACCAAGUCUGUAUUUUAUUUUUGUAAUUAAACUUUUCCAAGCACCAAGAAAGAACACCAACAAGAUAGCCAUCCUUCAUGCUGCCAACCAUGAAAUUCUCUCAUUCACCAUUGACACCAAUGAGGGAUUUCAGCAAUGCAUGCUAUUUAUAUAUGAAAAAUAUUCUCUACAAAGAUAUCUUGCAUUAUCACAGCAUUGGACAUGGUUAAAGAUUUCUCUAAUUCUUUAACACAAGGUGAAUGCUAGGCAAGGGCACUGUAUUAAGUUCCUUCUUUAGUUAAUACAUACAUGGAAACACUCAAUGAAUUUUAACUUGCAAAUCAUAAUCCCUCUUACAUAUAUGAGAGUGAAACAAGGAGUCUAAUAAGUUCCCCUACUAAUCAAAGAUUUAAAUUCUUACGAAGUAAGUUGUAAUUCAUAAAACUUCAAAGAUGAUACUAAAAAUUUCAAGAAAUCAUUAAAUUCAUCUUUUGAUUAAGAAUUGUCAUUUUAAAUUGGAGUUCAGUAUUUUUCAUACUAAAGGCAUCUCCAUUCUGUGCAAUUUUCAAAUAAGUUGAAGGUGCAUUCCUCUAUAUUUUGGCAGAUACAACAUCAUCCCAAUAAUGAAUUUACUGACAAACAAAUUACCAUGGUAUGGAUAAAUUAAACACUUUUUUAUUAUAUAGAUACUUCGUUCAUGAAUCAUUGAAACUAUAGGUUCCCAUACUUAAUUCAAUUAUUAGUUUGUCAGCCAAUUGGGUAAGCUAUGUUUAGUUUUUAGUAGCAGGAAACUUAUACUUGAUGAAAAAGUAAUGAAACUGCAUAGAUAAUGGGAGUCAAUUUGACCGUAGAGAAUGCCUAGAUUGAUGUACUUCUACUCAUAGUAUAUCUCCUUUUCCCUCAUUUUAAAUGCAUAGAUUUAAUGUAUUUAAUGCCUAGAUAAGCGAGUCAAAAAAGUUCAUUCACAUAUCUCUUGAUGGUGCAUACCUUUAACAAAUCUGUGAUUGUAAGUGUUAAAACAUUAAGAUCAUUGCUCAUACCUCACACUUAAAAGUAAUCAAUGUCCUGUCUAUGCAUGUGGCUAAAAUAACUUGAUUUUGAGAAGAUCUAUGAUGAAAUCAAGGGCCUCAAUCAUUCAACCCAAUUUACAUCAUGAUGAUUUAAGGCCCCAUUCUACUGCUAGGAGAGUCAAUGGCAUGUAUUAGAAUGUUAAACUAUCAAACAACUCAGAUUUACUCAUUUAUUGAGUUUGUAUCUGUAUUUUUUUAGCCAUGGUCAUAAUCUUAGUCAUUCGGUUAUUUGGCCUUAACUUGGACUGGAGUCACUUGACCGCUGAGCAUUUAACUCAUUUGUCUGUCUAAUAUUCUUGAUCUCUUGGUUAUUUGGUACCCGAGUUAUUUUUUUUUCUACUUUAUUUGGUUACUUCAUUUAUAAAAUAGGUUAGGCUAUAUAUAUAGCUAUAGCAAAGCUAAAGGAGUAGUACUAAGUUAUAUGUGACUUUUGGCGGAGAAAGAAGUCUCUUCUCACAUGAGACUUGGAAUUCUACUCUUCACUCAUCUCCUCUCUCUUCUCUCAGCUUCGUUUCUUUCCUCUCUCUUCUUUCCAUGUGAAAUAUUCUCCUUAACCUGCACAAAUCUAAUUUAUUUUUCUGAGAUUUGAUUUGGGAUCUAAAUUCUCUUUAACCUAAAGAGAAAUAUGUUUUCCCUGAAAUUUGAUUUUGGGUCACAAUUGAACCUUCCACUUAAUAAUAAAAUCAUAAUAAUCCUUUUCCCAAUACUAAACCCUAUUCUCUGAACCCCAGGGUGGAGCAGAAAACCUAAAUAUACCCUUUAAUCCACCAAAUAGCUCACUUCAGUCUUGUUUUCUGAGAUUGGACAGGAAGUUCUUAAAAUGAGCAACACCCCUAAAUAUUCUAGCCUGAUGAACGCAUAAGCAAGCCAUUCCUGAGCAAUCCUGCAUGGAAAAUUUAGAAAGAGCCAACAAGUUCUAAGAUCUAGGCCAAUAUAUAUCAAGAUAUCAAAAUAUCAGAUGAAGAAUUAAAAAAAAAUUGAGAUUCAUUGAUGUUUCAAGGCACUGCUUUUAAUGUAUUGGCCAAUCUCUAGGGAUAUACAGAUUUUUAUUGACCGAGUUUAUAGGGCCAAGAUUUUAUUUAUCAAAUUAUUAGUGUCCCAUACCAAAAAAACUGGCAUCCUUAAACUUAAGAAAAAAAGAAAAACAAUGAACGCUCAUGCACACAGAUAUGUUUAUGUGCAUGUGUAUGUUUACAUUGUGUAAGUAAGUAUCAAAAUAUUUUCGAUUUCACUGAUAUAUGCACACAGAUAUCAAAAUAUUUUCGAUUUCACUGAUAUAUGUAUCUAUGUAUGUAUGUGUAGUACAUAUAUAUCUGCAAGUGCAAUCAAAGGGUCUGAGAAGGUGAGUCAAUAGCAAUCAAAGUUUCUAAGAUAAUGAGUUGCCGAUUUGAUGGUAAAGCUUCACAAAGAGUGGAACAGCAAGUCCAGAUAGGCUUAGUAGCAAAACUAGCAUGCAAUUUCAGCGCAAACUUUUCCUUACAAUUUAGGAAGAGAAAAGUCAGCAGUUAAAUUAGAAAAGAAAUUUGCUUUAAUGAAAAAAAAAAAAACUACUUCCUUUAGGACCAAAAAUUAGUUAUACUUUUUACCUUGGAGUAUAUUGAUAGAAGGACAACAUCAGAAACAAUAGUACUGGCAAGAACUACCUUUUGAAUCUGUUGCCUUAGUACUAUGAAGACUAAUAUAUCAAUAGAAGGGCAAAGUUAGAAAUAACACAUUGGAGUAAUAACUAGCAAGAACUGCCUUCUAUAUGUACUGUCAUCAUACUAUGAAGACACCCAUUUUGUUCAUAUAGAGAUGCUCGAAAUAGAGAAUCAGAAGUAAUUCUGGUAGCUGCAGUUAAAUGAGCUCCAUAGUAUCAAAGAAAAGACCAGAACUCAAGCUUUAAGGAACUUUAAAAGAUAACUCACUUGAUAUGUUCACAUCAGAAGUACAAAAUUCCCUUAGGGAAUCAAGAACAAUCUUCAGGAUACAAGAAGCAAACACCAGUUUAGAUGCAUUUAUAGUUUCCAUACCGCUUCCCUCGAUAAAAAUUACAUUUAUUUUAAGGAACGAUCUUAGCAAAUAAGCUAAUAAAAGCUAAUGUGAUAUCAGUACAUUAAAUUCAUGUUAACAUAUAUGCCUAUGGCAUGAAAGACUACAUAAUAACAACCACCAUGAGAAAGAUUAUAUUAUUGCAAAUGUUAAA